UACAGCCAUAUCACAUUGAAACACCAGUUCCCAUACAAUCACUGAAGUUAAGCAAAAUCAAGCCAAGUCAGUACAUAUUUGGGUGACCACUUGGGAAUAUCAAGUACUGUAUG